rnacentral:rRNA from 1 species
UGGGGAAUUUUGGACAAUGGGCGAAAGCCUGAUCCAGCAAUGCCGCGUGUGUGAAGAAGGCCUUCGGGUUGUAAAGCACUUUUGUCCGGAAAGAAAUCCUUGGCUCUAAUACAGUCGGGGGAUGACGGUACCGGAAGAAUAAGCACCGGCUAACUACGUGCCAGCAGCCGUGGUAAUACGUAGGGUGCAAGCGUUAAUCGGAAUUACUGGGCGUAAAGCGUGCGCAGGCGGUUUGCUAAGACCGAUGUGAAAUCCCCGGGCUCAACCUGGGAACUGCAUUGGUGACUGGCAGGCUAGAGUAUGGCAGAGGGGGGUAGAAUUCCACGUGUAGCAGUGAAAUGCGUAGAGAUGUGGAGGAAUACCGAUGGCGAAGGCAGCCCCCUGGGCCAAUACUGACGCUCAUGCACGAAAGCGUGGGGAGCAAACAGGAUUAGAUACCCUGGUAGUCCACGCCCUAAACGAUGUCAACUAGUUGUUGGGGGAUUCAUUUCCUUAGUAACGUAGCUAACGCGUGAAGUUGACCGCCUGGGGAGUACGGUCGCAAGAUUAAAACUCAAAUGAAUUGACGGGGUCAUAGCUGUUUCCU